UUGGUGUCCAAUUGAGGUGUCAUGACCAC
rnacentral:piRNA from 1 species